GUCGAGCGAAGCAGUUAAGAAGAUUCUUCGGAUGAUUCUUAACUGACUGAGCGGCGGACGGGUGAGUAACGCGUGGGUGACCUGCCCCAUACCGGGGGAUAACAGCUGGAAACGGCUGCUAAUACCGCAUAAGCGCACAGAGCUGCAUGGCUCGGUGUGAAAAACUCCGGUGGUAUGGGAUGGGCCCGCGUCUGAUUAGGCAGUUGGCGGGGUAACGGCCCACCAAACCGACGAUCAGUAGCCGGCCUGAGAGGGCGACCGGCCACAUUGGGACUGAGACACGGCCCAAACUCCUACGGGAGGCAGCAGUGGGGAAUAUUGCACAAUGGGGGAAACCCUGAUGCAGCGACGCCGCGUGAGCGAAGAAGUAUUUCGGUAUGUAAAGCUCUAUCAGCAGGGAAGAUAAUGACGGUACCUGACUAAGAAGCCCCGGCUAACUACGUGCCAGCAGCCGCGGUAAUACGUAGGGGGCAAGCGUUAUCCGGAUUUACUGGGUGUAAAGGGAGCGUAGACGGCAAGGCAAGUCUGAUGUGAAAACCCAGGGCUUAACCCUGGGACUGCAUUGGAAACUGUCUGGCUCGAGUGCCGGAGAGGUAAGCGGAAUUCCUAGUGUAGCGGUGAAAUGCGUAGAUAUUAGGAAGAA
rnacentral:rRNA from 1 species